UACGAAGGGGGCUAGCGUUGCUCGGAAUCACUGGGCGUAAAGGGUGCGUAGGCGGGUCUUUAAGUCAGGGGUGAAAUCCUGGAGCUCAACUCCAGAACUGCCUUUGAUACUGAGGAUCUUGAGUACGGGAGAGGUGAGUGGAACUGCGAGUGUAGAGGUGAAAUUCGUAGAUAUUCGCAAGAACACCAGUGGCGAAGGCGGCUCACUGGCCCGUUACUGACGCUGAGGCGCGACAGCGUGGGGAGCAAACAGG
rnacentral:rRNA from 1 species